rnacentral:rRNA from 1 species
UACGUAGGGGGCAAGCGUUGUCCGGAUUUAUUGGGCGUAAAGAGCGUGUAGGCGGUCAGGUAGGUCCGUUGUGAAAACUCGAGGCUCAACCUCGAGACGCCGAUGGAAACCAUCUGGCUAGAGUCCGGAAGAGGAGAGUGGAAUUCCUGGUGUAGCGGUGAAAUGCGCAGAUAUCAGGAGGGACACCGGUGGCGAAGGCGGGUCUCUGGGCAGUAACUGACGCUGAGGAGCGAAAGCGUGGGGAGCGAACAGG